GACGAACGCUGGCGGCGUGCUUAACACAUGCAAGUCGAACGGAAAGGCCCUGCUUUUGUGCGGUGCUCGAUUGGCGAACGGGUGAGUAACACGUGAGUAACCUGCCCUUGACUUUGGGAUAACUUCAGGAAACUGGGGCUAAUAUCGGAUAGGAGCUGCUGCUGCAUGGUGGGGGUUGGAAAGUUUCGGCGGUUGGGGCUGGACUCGCGGCUUAUCAGCUUGUUGGUGGGGUAGUGGCUUACCAAGGCUUUGACGGGUAGCCGGCCUGGGAGGGUGACCGGCGACAUUGGGACUAAGAGACGGACCAGAGUCCUACGGGAGGCAGCAGUGGGGAGUAUUGCACAAUGGGCGGAAGCCUGAUGCAGCAACGCCGGGGGCGGGAUGACGGCCUUCGGGUUGUGAACCGCUUUCGCCUGUGACGAAGCGUGAGUGACGGUAAUGGGUAAAGAAGCACCGGCUAACUACGUG
rnacentral:rRNA from 1 species